UAUCUCUAACCCACAACUUGUCGUGCACAUCCAUUUACAAAACAUAAGAGAAACCAUCACUCAAAUAUAGUUGUAUACAGAAUGGAGAAGGCAUCAAGCAUCUUGUUCUCUCUUAUUUUCAUGUUAAUUUUGUUAGGUUCACCUUCCUGUAUGGCGUCGGGACAAGGCAAGGCAUGUCAAAGUGUUAAAGAUUGUUUUACCUUAUUUUGCAAGCAUGAGCAUUCAGUUUGUUUAGAAGGACAUUGUAUCUGCAAAGCGGCACCAAAAUACAUGGCAAGUGAUGAUGAUUUGGGGAUAGAUAUAGUAGAUCCAUGCCACAAAGAUAGUGACUGUAAAGCCAUAUGUGGUCCUGAAUGGUCAUCAAUUAAAUGUAUUGAUGGAAUUUGUGUCUGUAAGAACCCGAAUUAAGACAUGAUAGAAGGUGUAAGAGAACUGUUUAUCCUAUUAUUUGAGUAAAUUAAAUAAUAAGAAAUAUAGUUAUCAUCA